AAUUUUAUCUCUAUUCUAGAGUUAAAGAAACAGAAACACAGAGAGGUUAAGUAACUUGCCCAAGGUCACACAGCUAUGAAGUAGAAAAGUCAGGUUUCAAACCCAGGUCUCUGAAUCCUAUUCCAGAACUCAUGCUCUGAACUACUGCCUUCAGUUGCCAAGGAGAAGAAUGUCUGUAACUCCUUUCAGUGCAGCCAUCAGUGAUCUGCUCUAAGCAAUUAGGACAUGAGCUGCCUCAUUUAGACCCCUAACUCUUGGCUGCUCUGGUUCUGCCCUUGUGUGUUGCAAUAAUGUAUAACACCCUCAGAAGAAAGGGGGCUCCAAGGUUCUUGCGUUUUGUUAAUGGGAGAAGAGAUCAAAGAGGUUCCCCCCAAAGUUCCUAGUUGGAUGACCCAGAGAUGGUGGCAGUGCCAUGGAGGGGAGAAUCAAAUUCAGAAAGGGGAAGCCAGAGGCAAAAAAAAAGCAAACUUCCUACAAAUUCUCAGUUUGCCAAAGACUGGCUCUGCCUGGCUCUUUCCUUCCCAGGCACCCCUUCUGGCCUCCCCAGCCUCCCUUUCUGGCCUCCCCAGUCCCCAGCCCCUGAUCAGGAUGCAGCAUCACAGUGGGCUGUUUUUAAUCCUUGCUAGAUCUCUUUUAUUUUUUUCCCCCUUUGCCAGGCUUCCUGGGCUGUAAUUUUUCCCUCUGUGUCAUCCAUCACAGAUACAACGUCGCUUGUGCAAAUUAAAAUGCACCUCAGAAUAAUAAAAAAGGGGCCUUCUUUCCCCCCUCCUUUUCCUUCCCAGAAGCAACUCCUCAACACAAAACAUUUGUCUCUGGGCAAGAGCCCGAGCAUUAACCCUGCACGUGCCAUCACCAGGCCCAUAUAGUCCCAGCAGCCUUGUGUAACCAGUGAUCGGGGCCAGGGAAUGGCUAGAGAACCAAAGAGCCUGGUUCCCACCACUUCACCGUGUGCUGACUGUGUGCCAGGCACUGUUCAUACAUUGCCUCUUUAGUCCUUACUAUAACCCAAUAGGGCAGGACCUAAGCUGUCUUCAUUUUACAAAUGCAGAAACUGAGGGGGGUGUUUAGCGACUUGCCUAGUUAAUUUGAGCUAGAGCUGGUAUUUGAACACUGUCUGACUCCAAAGUCCAUAUUGUACCCUUGUUACUCAAAGUGUGGUCCAUGGACCUGUAGCACCACGGGUAUCACUUGAGAGCUUGUUAGAAAUGCAGAAUCUUGGGUCCUAUUCCAGACCUACUGAAUAAGAAUCUGCAUUUUAACAAGAUGCCCUGGUGAUUCACAUGUACAUUAAAAUUUAAGAAGUGCUGCUCUAAACUAUUUUGCUAUCCUUGCUCUCACCUGCUCCCCACUCCCACAGCUUUGAUGUCCCCACCUUGACCUGCCAAGAAAGGGCCAUUUCUAGGGAUGGGCCAGGAGCUCCAGUGGACUCAGUUCAAGCAUCUCCUCAUCCAUGAAGCCAGGCCCCAGGAGAAUUUGAACAGAUCUCUUUACCUGGGCCUAUUUCCAUCACAGCAAGUGUAACAGGCUGGAUAUAGGAUGGACAUUUUGAAGACAGGAAGCCACCAUUUGAGGAAGUGGAGCUUCAGACUCCCAGAUCUCAAAGAGUUUACCACUUUCAUCCAGCAAAUCUGGGGAAGCACAGGACCUUAUAUCAGGACCCCAGGACUCAGAGGCUAGAACAAGAUGGUGCCCAACCAUAACUCCCUACAUGUGUGGUUGAUGGCAUUGGUAUCUGGGGAACCAUGAUACCAAUGUGUUCAAGAACAGACAGCCCAGGAUUUCCCUGGCGGUCCAGUGGGUAAGACUCCACGCUCCCAAUGCAAAAGGGGCCCAGGUUCCAUCCCUGGUCAGUGAACUAGAUCCCGCAUGCCGCAACUAAGAAGUCCACAUGCUGCAACUAAAAGAUAACGCACGCUGCAGUGAAGAUCCCACAUGCUGCAACUAAGACCUGGCACAGCCAAAAUAAAUAAAUAUUUUUAGAAAAAGAAC